GACAGAACAUCUGCCAUAUCUGCAACGCCUGGGACUUAAAACAAAGACUACAGUAGAAGCCGGGUCUCCCAACCUGUCUAUGAGGUUCCUGGCCUGCUUGAGUUCCUGCCCUCACUGCCUUUGAAGAGGAACUGUGAUGUGGAACUGUGAGUGAAAUGAACCCUUUGCUCCCAGGUCGUUUUUGAUCAUUGUGUUUCGUCUAAGCAAUAGAAACCACAACUAAGCCAGGGUUCCUCUGUGUAGCGCAGGCUGUCCUUGAACUCAAGAGAUCUGUCUUCGUCUGCCUUCCAAGUGCAGAAACUAAAGGUAUGCACCACUGUACCUGGCUCAAGGUAGGUAUUUUCUUGAAAAAAACAAAGUUACAAAGACUUUCUCACAUGACUUACACAACAGCAGUUUGAAUGUGCAAGUAAUAAUCCUAACAAGAAGACAACUAACGAGCUUGCUUUCACAUACCAUUUUCCAGCAGCACACUCUGUAGUUGUGGCUUAGGGAAAGCCUUAUCUUGGCACAAUGUUGAAGAAUUCUGGAAACAUAAAAAAUAUUCCCUAAGUGUUUGUAAAUAAUGACAUUUUCCAGUAUUUCCAAACACCUGGUUCUGUGGUACAAUGUUUUAGCAACAUCCUGAAUGCCACAUUAUAGUUUAGAUGACUAUGGCAACUCCCAGGAAGGUGACUUACUGUCACCGCCUUCUGCCCUCAACGUAGCCAGCUAAGACUCCUCCUCGGCCUUUUAACAACGAAGGAAUGCUAUGGAUAAUUCUCAGGUGCUCUUUUAAAACUGUUUACUUAGUUGUGUGUGUGCACCGCUGUGUGCGAGUGCGCAGGCGCAUGUGUAAAGGUCCGAGGAAACUCCAUGGCUUUAGUUGUCUCUUUCCAUCUUUAUGUGGCUUCAGCAGGUCAAACUCAGGCUACUCGGCCUACAGCAAGUGCCUUCCUGCUUCUCAGAUAUUCUAAAGAGGUGACAGAGUCACAUGCCCAAGGCUUUGGUGCAGUCUAAAGAUGGCAAAAAACGCAGACAACUAUGUGUAGGAAAUGAAACAGUAAUUUCUGAGCCUGCUAAUUGAUUUGGAUAUUGUUUACAAAUAAUUUCAUAAAAACAAAUUAUUAAAUUCAUUAUUGUGCUUUCUUAAUCAAAAGAAUUUUUAAAAAGGUGAAAUAAAGAACUAAUCUAUUCGUAAUCUCUAGUACACUCAUAAAACUUCAUUACUCUGAAAAUAAGAAAGUGGGAAAAUUGCAAAUGUCCCCUCAAAUCGUCACCUUGACUGUAGCGACCAUAAGGGACACUAUACUUAUCCAGAGAACGGCACUUUAGUCCCUCUCAGGACCUGCUCACUUACUAUAUGGAGUUUCUCCAUAAAUUUCAUAGCCAGAAAUGCUCUUGUAAUGACACAGAAAUUUUUUUAAAUUGUGAGACUAGAAAACUUGUCAGAUUUGUAGCAAAGACACAUAUUCCCAUUGCACCAGUCUUAAUCCUACCCUUAAUCAGAGGAAACACAUCAAGGCAUUCAGAUGUACGAGAUGAGUAUCAUAACUCACCUGGUUGCCUGUUUAAUCAGAGAACGCACAGAGAAGAAAUUUCCUGGUCUGUCUGGAGGAAGGUUAUUUACAGAGUAAGUUUUCUCUUCUCUCUGAAAGUUUAAAACAAACAAAAUCUCAAUAAAUAUGACCCUCGUUAUUUAGCUUUUUCCUUGAGGUAUGUAUACAUGCACCCAUAACUGUUUGUAUUAUGUUAAUCUGGGUCCCCAAGACCCGGAUUUACUCGAGAUUACGACACUGAGGGACCCUGGCCCCGGUUGGUUCUGAUUGGAAAAUAAGGUUGCUGGCAGCCAAUGGCUAGGCAGGGCAGACAGAGACAUGACUUUUAGGAUGCCAGGUGAGGGACCGAUUCUCCUGUCUGGCUCUUAUCUCCCAGUAAGGACUGUGGUCUCUAAGAGGUCGCAAAAGCUGAGGCUGGCCCCUUCUACCUGUCCUAGCCUACAGCUGUGGUAAGAUGCCCUGGCAGGAUUUGUCAAAAAUGGCAACUCCUGUCUAAAUGGCAGCACAGCCACAUCUCCUCAGCCUGCAGCCUUCACAGGGGCAUCUCAUUUCCUGCUCAGCAGGAGCUGCCCCUUACAAAGCUGUCCAAGGUGGCAACACAUCCUUCCCCAUACCCCCAGCUCCCAGCAGCCCCACAGAGAUGGUGCCCCAGCAAAACCAGGCUGCAGUCAGGAAAGACUUCCCACCCGAAUCCAUGGGCCGGAUGCAGGGAAAGGGAAAAAACACCCACCAAUCCCUGAGCUCCACAAGCUCAGGCCUUGAAAUCCCACCAAUCCUCAAAUUGGAAAUGUCUGCUUCAAAAGCUCCAGCCCCUAAGAAAUCCGAUAUAAGCACUGCCCUUUGUUCAGUUCCCCCGCUGCCUUCUCCCCGGAGCAGAGGGAAGUAAUGUUAUAGAGACAGCACGUUUCCCAUAUUAUGACUUUAAGAAGAGCUUUAUACCAACUCUUGAGUUUUCAUAGUUAGCUUACCUUUUCUGAUUCUUCUUGACUUGGAUAAUAUGUAAAAUAGUUACCAAAAUGAGCCCCUUCUGACUUGAAAACCGAUCCGUCUCCAGGAAAAAUCUCUAUUGAGUUUACAUUUUUAUGGGUAAGCCUAAGGUAGAGAAAUAAACGUUUGUUUUC
ensembl:processed_transcript Gm9752 predicted gene 9752